rnacentral:rRNA from 1 species
CCUACGGGAGGCUGCAGUGGGGAAUAUUGGGCAAUGGAGGAAACUCUGACCCAGCAACGCCGCGUGAAUGAUGAAGGUCUUCGGUUUGUAAAGUUCUUUUCUAAGGGAAGAAGAAAGUGACGGUACCUUAGGAAUAAGCCUCGGCUAACUAAGUGCCAGCAGCCGCGGUAAUAAGUAGGAGGCGAGCGUUAUCCGGAAUUACUGGGUGUAAAGGGGGCGUAGGUGGUUUGGCAAGUUAGUAGCGUAACUCCAAGGCUCAACCUUGGAACUACUACUAAAACUGUUGGACUUGAGUGCAGGAGGGGCAACCGGAAUUCCUGGUGUAGCGGUGGAAUGCGUAGAUAUUAGGAGGAACACCAGUGGCGAAGGCGGGUUGCUAGACUGUAACUGACACUGAGGCACGAAAGCGUGGGGAGCAAACAGGAUUAGAGACCCUUGUAGUC